rnacentral:rRNA from 1 species
UACGGAGGAUGCAAGCGUUAUCCGGAAUGAUUGGGCGUAAAGCGUCCGCAGGUGGCUGUGUAAGUCUGCUGUUAAAUAGUGAGGCUCAACCUCAUAAAGGCAGUGGAAACUACACGGCUAGAGUGCGUUCGGGGCAGAGGGAAUUCCUGGUGUAGCGGUGAAAUGCGUAGAGAUCAGGAAGAACACCGGUGGCGAAAGCGCUCUGCUAGGCUGCAACUGACACUGAGGGACGAAAGCUAGGGGAGCGAAUGGG